rnacentral:lncRNA from 1 species
GACGGUGCCGCCGGGACGUGGUGGCUGUGGUGGACGGUGCCGCCGGGACGUGGUCCGCGGGGAGGCAGCUGAGGCCCGGCAAGAAUUCGAACCUGGUGCAGGGGGGCUGGCAGUGCUGGGGGACCCUCCGCAGCUGCUGGCCCAGGUGCUAAACCCCUCACUGCCCAGGGCUGGGGGUGCCGGCAGGUGCUCUGAGUGCGGGGCCCGCCGAGCCUGCACCCACCCAGAACUCACGCUGCAUGCAGCCCCAGUUCCCGCCUGCAGCUCUCCCUCCACACCUCCCUGCAAAUAGAGGAGCCGGCUCCGGCCUCGGCCAGCCCAGAGAGGGGCUCCCACAGUGCAGCGGCGGGCUGGAGGGCUCCUCAAGUGUAGCCAGAGUGGAUGCUGAGGCCCAGGAGGUGCUGAGAGCGAGUGAGGGCUGCUAGCACGUUGUCACCUUU